UCAUGUAAAGUUUAAUUUGAAUACCAUAUAAUAUCCAUUGAAGCUAAUUCAUACAUCAUCACAUCAUAUAAGGUCACCUUUAUUCACACAUAUAGAUAGACAAUAUAAUAUAAAAAAUGGAAUACAAAUCUCUUGGUUAGGAACUUCUGCACUAGAAUAAAUUACGAGUUUAACUCUUUUUCACAAGCUUCAUGUGGAAUGCCAUUUCAUUUUUCUUCUCCAUGUUGGUUUCAUGUGUUGCCUCCACUCUGCAAGUAAUACCAAUUGACACGUUGUUAAUAACUUAGUAUACAUGGUUGCAUGCACAUAACCAAAGCAACAGAGAAAAGUCACCAGGAGCUAAAAAAUUCUGAAUGCUUUCCUAUUUGCAUGCACAGUAGCUAAAAAGUCACCAACAACAGAGAAGUUUGCCUUCCUAGUUGACAGAGAUGCAAGAAGCACCAUAAAAUACUUGAGCUAACUUAACAAAAAACUAAGCCCUUUCCUAUUAGAUACUAGACGGCCAAAUACCUGUCCCUCGCAGCAAUUAAAAGUACACAAGCAUGAUAAAACUGAACAUAUAUCAUAAAACUGCUAUUACUAUUACAGAUCAGCUAAGAGAACAGCUAUUACUAUCACACAUAAACCUGAAUGCAUAGUAGUAACAACUAGGAGAGCAACUGUUACUACUACCCUAUGGAUGAUGCUUUGCAAUCUAGCAUACCCGUUCGGCAAAACUGCUAGAUGUUCUCCUAUCACAUAAAACUGCUAUUACUCUCUAGGUAAUUAUAAUUGAAGCAUAUAUCCAGUGCAGUGAAACUUGAUUCAGGUUGUAACUGAUUCAAUGAGCAAUGUAACAGAUUCAGGGUAUUUGAAACUUGAUGUAGCAUGCUACUUUAAACCCCCUGGUUGUCCAGUUUGAAAGAAAUAAAUAGACAAAAGAUGAUACAAGAAUGCUAUAAUAGAGACCACUGUUUUAAAAAGACUGAGAUAAUGCUAUUUAAAAAUUUAUUCAUUUGGGUUUCUAGAUCUCAAUUCUCAAGCAUGAUUCUAAACUAGCACAUCAGUUCACAGAAACUAAUAAGAAAGAAAUGCAGCAAUCUUUUCUAGGUACUGAUUCAAUGCAGCAAUUUUUAGAUAAUGUAACAAAAUUUCAUUGUACUUCAAUAUGUAGUCGUUGAUUAUUUGUGGUUUCAAACCUAAUUUUUUAGAUAAGAAUUGCGAUUAUCUAAUUUGCAGACUACAGUGAUACACCUAUUGAUCUUAAACCAUUCUCUCAAAGAAGCCGAACCAAACAGUCAGAACUGACAAGCUCCUAAAAAGUAUACGAAGUCAGUGCAGCAUCAAUUUUCAGUGAAGAAAUGCAAGAACUAGAGGGUGGUUCUCCUUUUGUCUACAAGUCAUUCUGAUCCAUUAAUACUGGCUACUGAUGAAACCAAGCAACUAAACCCCUUCUGAGGUUAGUUCAUUCAAACCUCCAAACAAUUGUUGAAUGCAGAUUUUUUGCAGUGAAUUUAUUAAAGAACCCAGUUCAAGUUCAACUGAACAAAAAAUGCAUCAAGAUGGACAGUUUAAAUAGAUCAAUCGAUGUAUUGUUCUAAACAAAAAAUAGGCAUCACUUAACUGAUCCAAAAACUGUGCCCCAAACUGAAACCAGCAACUUCCUCUUGGUUCAUGCAUAAAAAUUCAUCAGAUUUCACUAGGACUCUGGAACCCGCUAGGUGCGUGCAUUAGAGUUUAUGCAGUUCAUGAUAAAUCAUAGGAGAGUCGGCCUUGUACUCGGUAGGUGCAUAC
rnacentral:lncRNA from 1 species